rnacentral:rRNA from 1 species
GACGAACGCUGGCGGCGUGCCUAAUACAUGCAGGUCGAGCGGAAGUUGGAGAGCUUGCUCUUCAACUUUAGCGGCGGACGGGUGAGUAACACGUGGGCAACCUGCCCUGCAGAUCGGGAUAACUCCGGGAAACCGGUGCUAAUACCGAAUAGUUUUCGCCACCUCCUGGUGGCGUACGGAAAGACGGUUUCGGCUGUCACUGCAGGACGGGCCCGCGGCGCAUUAGCUAGUUGGUGGGGUAACGGCCCACCAAGGCAACGAUGCGUAGCCGACCUGGGAGGGUGAUCGGCCACACUGGGACUGAGACACGGCCCAGACUCCUACGGGAGGCAGCAGUAGGGAAUCUUCCGCAAUGGACGAAAGUCUGACGGAGCAUAGCCGCGUGAGUGACGAAGGUUUUCGGAUCGUAAAACUCUGUUGUGAGGGAAGAACAAGUACCAACUAACUACUGGUACCUUGACGGUACCUCACCAGAAAGCCACGGCUAACUACGUGCCAGCAGCCGCUGUAACAC